GAUGAACGCUGGCGGCGUGCCUAAUACAUGCAAGUCGAGCGAACGGACGAGAAGCUUGCUUCUCUGAUGUUAGCGGCGGACGGGUGAGUAACACGUGGAUAACCUACCUAUAAGACUGGGAUAACUUCGGGAAACCGGAGCUAAUACCGGAUAAUAUUUUGAACCGCAUGGUUCAAAAGUGAAAGACGGUCUUGCUGUCACUUAUAGAUGGAUCCGCGCUGCAUUAGCUAGUUGGUAAGGUAACGGCUUACCAAGGCAACGAUGCAUAGCCGACCUGAGAGGGUGAUCGGCCACACUGGAACUGAGACACGGUCCAGACUCCUACGGGAGGCAGCAGUAGGGAAUCUUCCGCAAUGGGCGAAAGCCUGACGGAGCAACGCCGCGUGAGUGAUGAAGGUCUUCGGAUCGUAAAACUCUGUUAUUAGGGAAGAACAUAUGUGUAAGUAACUGUGCACAUCUUGACGGUACCUAAUCAGAAAGCCACGGCUAACUACGUGCCAGCAGCCGCGGUAAUACGUAGGUGGCAAGCGUUAUCCGGAAUUAUUGGGCGUGAAGCGCGCGUAGGCGGUUUUUUAAGUCUGAUGUGAAAGCCCACGGCUCAACCGUGGAGGGUCAUUGGAAACUGGAAAACUUGAGUGCAGAAGAGGAAAGUGGAAUUCCAUGUGUAGCGGUGAAAUGCGCAGAGAUAUGGAGGAACACCAGUGGCGAAGGCGACUUUCUGGUCUGUAACUGACGCUGAUGUGCGAAAGCGUGGGGAUCAAACAGGAUUAGAUACCCUGGUAGUCCACGCCGUAAACGAUGAGUGCUAAGUGUUAGGGGGUUUCCGCCCCUUAGUGCUGCAGCUAACGCAUUAAGCACUCCGCCUGGGGAGUACGACCGCAAGGUUGAAACUCAAAGGAAUUGACGGGGACCCGCACAAGCGGUGGAGCAUGUGGUUUAAUUCGAAGCAACGCGAAGAACCUUACCAAAUCUUGACAUCCUUUGACAACUCUAGAGAUAGAGUCUUCCCCUUCGGGGGACAAAGUGACAGGUGGUGCAUGGUUGUCGUCAGCUCGUGUCGUGAGAUGUUGGGUUAAGUCCCGCAACGAGCGCAACCCUUAAGCUUAGUUGCCAUCAUUAAGUUGGGCACUCUAAGUUGACUGCCUGUGACAAACCGGAGGAAGGUGGGGAUGACGUCAAAUCAUCAUGCCCCUUAUGAUUUGGGCUACACACGUGCUACAAUGGACAAUACAAAGGGCAGCGAAACCGCGAGGUCAAGCAAAUCCCAUAAAGUUGUUCUCAGUUCGGAUUGUAGUCUGCAACUCGACUACAUGAAGCUGGAAUCGCUAGUAAUCGUAGAUCAGCAUGCUACGGUGAAUACGUUCCCGGGUCU
rnacentral:rRNA from 1 species